UCCCAAAACAGCCCCCUCAGCAGCCCACGAACAACUCGGGGGGUCUCCACUCCGCCCUCCCCGCAGGCAGAGCGGCCUCCUCCCCGCCGCUGGGCCGCUCCUCCCCGCCGCGCCGCCGGGGCCGGCGAGUCAGCUGACGGCAGCGGGAGGUUUCCAUCAUGGCCGCCCGGCCGGGGCGGCUGCCGGCGGCGGCGCCGGGCAGGCGGAGAGGCGCGGUGGCGGCCCGGAUCCUGCUUCUCUUUUGCUUCGUGGGCGCAGCCGUGGAGGGAGCGGUGGGCACGGAGCCGCCGCUUAAGUGCGACGAGCUGAGGCUGGGGCAAUAUAUGUGCGAUGAGCCUAAAAUAGACAAUAGUACACAAGAACCAAUGAAUUGUACAAAUCACACAGCAUAUGUUCAAUGUCUGCCAGCACCAAAUAUUACUUGCAAAGAUCACCUUGGCAUAGAAAAAGUCUUUACGGGACAUGAAGUUGGAUUUUACAAGCCUAUUGCAUGUCGCAGUGUAAAUGGAUACUCCUACAAGGUGGCAGUGGCUCUGUCCUUAUUUCUUGGAUGGUUGGGAGCAGAUAGAUUUUAUCUAGGCUAUCCUGCAUUGGGUUUGUUAAAGUUCUGCACUGUAGGAUUUUGUGGAAUUGGUAGCCUAAUUGAUUUCAUACUUAUUUCAAUGCAGAUCGUCGGACCUUCCGAUGGCUCUAGUUACAUUAUAGAUUACUAUGGAGCAAGGCUUACACGGCUCACUAUUACCAAUGCAACGUUCAGGAAAAUGCAGACCUAUCCUUAACCCUGGCAGUGGAGCCAAACCCCCUAUCAGAUCUCCAAAUCUUCUGAAGUUGUUCUUUAUCAAACGGCAAAGACUUAGUGCUCCGGUGUUUUUCCUUGUACGACAGAGGAAACUGGAAAGUGGAUGUGAGGAUUCUGUCUGGCCAAGACGCAUUUUGCACUACGCGCACUCUAUAGACCUAAGACUGUAGCAACGGAAAAGAAAGGAAAUGUAAGAAUAAAAAGGGCAGCCUCAAUGCUGUUUGCACCGUGUGUGAUGAAGAUCUCGUUCCGUAAACUCCCAACAAAAGAAAGUGUUUAAAAAAUACUGCUUGUCUCAAACACAAACUCCUCGCUUUUCCCAGGAUUUCUGAUUCUUAUUCUUCGUGCUUCAUUAUAAUCUGGAACAUACUCAUGCUCCGAUAAUUCUCCAUUAUACAUUUGAAUGGCUGCUUUCAAGACUGCAGUGCACUCUCCGAGGAGCACAGUUCUCAGGCUCUGCAGAUGCAUAUGACACAGCAGAAUUUUAGGCAGUAUAAAAAUUAUAAAGAUCAGUUUCCAUUACUCUAAUUACUAUAUAAAUCCUAUCUUUAAGAGGCUUAGAACAGGCCUAUUUAACCUUGGUUUGAGCUGAGGCUUGGUCCAAGUCUGAUAAGUUGAACACCCAAUUCUUUUUCUUUUUUUUUUUUCCUUUUCUCUGCAGCAUCGUAACUUAGUGGGGAGUGGGGCGGGGAGGGAGAUGGAUCCAGCGCAUCCUCUGCACUCUGACAGGGAGGUGGCUGUAAUGGGGCAACAUACCUGUCCCCGACCAACAGCAAGCCUAAAUGAGAUGUGCGUUUUAUUCCCUCUGAAAAGCACCGUUUCUCCCCUUGGAACCUGUGGCUGCCUCUCCAACACAGCUGUACUCCAGAGCAGAGUCUUCUUCAAAGUUCCUUGGGUUUACCAUGGGGAAAACAUGGCAAGAACAUGUAAGAGGAGAUCACUGCCUGCGAAGAACUGACUGAGUGUUCACCUUGAGCCUGACGAGGCUGCCCACCAUAUGGAUUGUGUUGGCAGCGGCAGAAGCUUGGGGAAUGCAGAGGUGGGGGGUAAUUUUUAGGGCUUUCAUUCCAUGGUCCCAUUGAUUAUAACCCUAUUAAGAGGAUGAUGCAUGCGACUUCUAAGUUAUUUUGUUAACCAAGUGUAAGCAAUGGAUGUGUCAUGCUAACAAACAUAAUUGCUGGUGUGUCUAAUACAGUAUGAAAGUACAGUAUAGUGAAUUUAAAAGGUUGUGGUAAUCUAAGAAUGUUAAAAGGGAAAUGUGUGCAGGGGGAGGUGUGGGGGUUGGGGAGAAAAACGACUUACUUGACAUUCACUGUCUUCCUCCCAGCUCCUUUGCUAAAGUAGGAACAGAAUCGGAACAAAAAAAUGUUUGUUUUACAGCUGUACCAAGUUACGGCGUGGACUCGUGCUCCCCCCCUCCUCUCCCACUUGCAUCAAGUACAUCCUGUACUUUUGGCAACAUGUUGACUGGAUAUUUAAAAGCUGUGAACUGUUCUGAAAGUUUCACAUACUGGGUUAUGGGCCAUGUGUGUUUGAUCAAAAUUCAAUUACUGCACUGUACCAUGCUUGGAAACCUAUCAUCCCAAGUUAUGAAGUAUGACGAAAUAGGCUAAUCUAAUUGGUUCAGUAUGGGAGCAGUAUCAACCAAGCUUGUUAUGAUAAAUAGCUUCCUGUGUUAAAGGUUCUCUAGAGCUUAAGUAUCUUGGCUCACCUCCCUCUACAAAAUAAGAAUAGUGUUCCCUGGGAACAGUUACAUCACUGUCCCUCUCCUACAUUCACAAUUAAAGGUUUGUGGAUUUAUUUUUUUCAUCUUGCUAUUCCUUGAAUAGAUAAACCGUGGCCAUCUACCCCAUUUCCCACUUCCAUCUCCUUCCCCUUUCCUCAGGUUAGGUCGUGUGGUGCUUACCAUGAGUCUGCCUGCUCCGUUUCAGGGGCAAACUUGACCAGGACGCCAAAACCCACCCUGGGCUGGAGGCUGGGGUUUGUGCCCUGCUGCGUCAGUACGGAUGACAUGUCCACUUGUAUAAAGAUUCGGAAUUUUUGAUGUUAGACGUGGAAGCACUUUAAUCUUUCUAAGCAUCUAAUAAAAGAACUUUUGUAUAGUGAAUUUUG